GGUGUCAUGGCUGAGCUUGGUAAAGCGCCAGUUUUGUAAACAGGAGAUCCUGGGUUCAACUCCCAGUGGUACCU